rnacentral:lncRNA from 1 species
GUAUGUUUAAUAUUGAACCUUGAAGCAAAUAACUUUUCGGGAACUGUUCCUUCUGAUUUGGGGAGAUUAAUAAAUUUACAAACAUUGAUUUUGUCCUCAAACCGGUUGACGGGAACGUUGCCAGCAUCCCUUGCUGAAUUGAGCAAUUUAAAAGAUUUCAGGAUAAGUGACAACAAUCUCAGUGGGUCCAUACCUAAUUUCAUAGAGAAUUGGAGACAACUCAAUAAACUAGAACUAAUUGGGACGGGGCUUUCGGGACCGAUUCCUUCAUCCAUUUCCUUUCUGAACUUAACUGACGCGAGAAUUUGUGAACUAAGUGGAC